GAUGAACGCUAGCUACAGGCUUAACACAUGCAAGUCGAGGGGAAACGACAUCGAAAGCUUGCUUUUGAUGGGCGUCGACCGGCGCACGGGUGAGUAACGCGUAUCCAACCUGCCCACCACUUGGGGAUAACCUUGCGAAAGUAAGACUAAUACCCAAUGAUAUCUCUAGAAGACAUCUGAAAGAGAUUAAAGAUUUAUCGGUGAUGGAUGGGGAUGCGUCUGAUUAGCUUGUUGGCGGGGUAACGGCCCACCAAGGCAACGAUCAGUAGGGGUUCUGAGAGGAAGGUCCCCCACAUUGGAACUGAGACACGGUCCAAACUCCUACGGGAGGCAGCAGUGAGGAAUAUUGGUCAAUGGACGAGAGUCUGAACCAGCCAAGUAGCGUGCAGGAAGACGGCCCUAUGGGUUGUAAACUGCUUUUAUAAGGGAAUAAAGUGAGUCCCGUGAGACUUUUUGCAUGUACCUUAUGAAUAAGGACCGGCUAAUUCCGUG
rnacentral:rRNA from 1 species